rnacentral:rRNA from 1 species
GAUGAACGCUGGCGGCGUGCCUAAUACAUGCAAGUCGAGCGAACAGAUGAGGAGCUUGCUCCUCUGACGUUAGCGGCGGACGGGUGAGUAACACGUGGAUACCCUACCUAUAAGACUGGGAUAACUUCGGGAAACCGGAGCUAAUACCGGAUAAUAUAUUGAACCGCAUGGUUCAAUAGUGAAAGACGGUUUUGCUGUCACUUAUAGAUGGUUCCGCGCCGCAUUAGCUAGUUGGUAAGGUAACGGCUUACCAAGGCAACGAUGCGUAGCCGACCUGAGAGGGUGAUCGGCCACACUGGAACUGAGACACGGUCCAGACUCCUACGGGAGGCAGCAGUAGGGAAUCUUCCGCAAUGGGCGAAAGCCUGACGGAGCAACGCCGCGUGAGUGAUGAAGGUCUUCGGAUCGUAAAACUCUGUUAUUAGGGAAGAACAAAUGUGUAAGUAACUAUGCACGUCGUGACGGUACCUAAUCAGAAAGCCACGGCUAACUACGUG